rnacentral:rRNA from 1 species
UGGGGAAUAUUGCACAACGGGCGCAAGCCUGAUGCAGCCAUGCCGCGUGUGUGAAGAAGGCCUUCGGGUUGUAAAGCACUUUCAGCGAGGAGGAAGGUGGUGGACUUAAUACGUUCAUCAAUUGACGUUACUCGCAGAAGAAGCACCGGCUAACUCCGUGCCAGCAGCCGCGGUAAUACGUAGGGUGCAAGCGUUAAUCGGAAUUACUGGGCGUAAAGCGUGCGCAGGCGGUUUGCUAAGACCGAUGUGAAAUCCCCGGGCUCAACCUGGGAACUGCAUUGGUGACUGGCAGGCUAGAGUAUGGCAGAGGGGGGUAGAAUUCCACGUGUAGCAGUGAAAUGCGUAGAGAUGUGGAGGAAUACCGAUGGCGAAGGCGGCCCCUGGACGAAGACUGACGCUCAGGUGCGAAAGCGUGGGGAGCAAACAGGAUUAGAUACCCUGGUAGUCCACGCUGUAAACGAUGUCGAUUUGGAGGUUGUGCCCUUGAGGCGUGGCUUCCGGAGCUAACGCGUUAAAUCGACCGCCUGGGGAGUACGGCCGCAAGGUU